CAUGUGUGGUAUAUGUUUGUGCAGGUGGCCAUGCCCCUUCUUUGAUUCGUCAUCACCUUGUGCCCAUUUGUGAUUGCAGAGUCACUGCCUCAAAUCUGCUUCUUAUUUGGUUUGACGGGGGAAGAGAUGAUGGAGCUCAUUGAUGCAUUUCCAAAAUCUCUACAUGUAUGUAAAAGUCGUAUCAAGAAAAAAAAGAAAAAGAAAAAGAAAAAGAAAAAGAGGAAUGGAUCAUUUCUUUUAAAGAUGAGUACAUUGUAUAAUAUUUAGUAACUGAUUCUAACGAUCAAUCAACUGUACCACCUUUACACAAUGCCAUGCCAGCUUCACUUUCA